UAAGUUAAUAAGGGCGCACGGUGGAUGCCUUGGCACUAGGAGCCGACGAAGGACGUGACAAACGACGAUAUGCCUUGGGUAGCUGUAAGUAAGCGAUGAUCCAGGGAUUUCCGAAUGGGGGAACCCAACAGGUAAUACCUGUUACCUACAUCUGUUAAGGAUGUGAGGAGGAAGACGCAGUGAACUGAAACAUCUAAGUAGCUGCAGGAAGAGAAAGCAAAAGCGAUUGCCUUAGUAGCGGCGAGCGAAACGGCAGAAGGGCAAACCGAAGAGUUUACUCGUUCGGGGUUGUAGGACUGCAAUGUGGACUCAAAGAUUAUAGAAGAAUGAUUUGGGAAGAUCAGCCAAAGAGAGUAAUAGCCUCGUAUUUAAAAUAGUCUUUGUACUUAGCAGUAUCCUGAGUACGGCGGGACACGUGAAAUCCCGUCGGAAUCUGGGAGGACCAUCUCCCAACCCUAAAUACUCCCUAGUGACCGAUAGUGAACCAGUACCGUGAGGGAAAGGUGAAAAGCACCCCGGGAGGGGAGUGAAAUAGAACCUGAAACCGUGUGCCUACAACAAGUUCGAGCCCGUUAAUGGGUGAGAGCGUGCCUUUUGUAGAAUGAACCGGCGAGUUACGUUAUGAUGCGAGGUUAAGUUGAAGAGACGGAGCCGUAGGGAAACCGAGUCUGAAUAGGGCGCCUUAGUAUCAUGACGUAGACCCGAAACCAUGUGACCUACCCAUGAGCAGGUUGAAGGUGCGGUAAGACGCACUGGAGGACCGAACCAGGGCACGUUGAAAAGUGCUUGGAUGACUUGUGGGUAGCGGAGAAAUUCCAAACGAACUUGGAGAUAGCUGGUUCUCUCCGAAAUAGCUUUAGGGCUAGCGUCGACAUUAGAGAUUCUUGGAGGUAGAGCACUGUUUGGGUGAGGGGUCCAUCCCGGAUUACCAAUCUCAGAUAAACUCCGAAUGCCAAUGAAUUAUGGUCGGCAGUCAGACUGCGAGUGCUAAGAUCCGUAGUCGAAAGGGAAACAGCCCAGACCACCAGCUAAGGUCCCAAAAUAAUUGUUAAGUGGAAAAGGAUGUGGGGUUGCACAGACAACUAGGAUGUUAGCUUAGAAGCAGCUAUUCAUUCAAAGAGUGCGUAAUAGCUCACUAGUCGAGUGACCCUGCGCCGAAAAUGUACCGGGGCUAAAACAAUUUACCGAAGCUGUGGAUACCUUUAUAGGUAUGGUAGGAGAGCGUUCUAUGUGUGAUGAAGGUAUACCGUGAGGAGUGCUGGAACGCAUAGAAGUGAGAAUGCCGGUAUGAGUAGCGAAAGACAGGUGAGAAUCCUGUCCACCGUAAGACUAAGGUUUCCAGGGGAAGGCUCGUCCGCCCUGGGUUAGUCGGGACCUAAGGAGAGACCGAAAGGUGUAUCCGAUGGACAACAGGUUGAUAUUCCUGUACUAGAGUAUGUAGUGAUGGAGGGACGCAGUAGGCUAACUAAAGCAGACGAUUGGAAGAGUCUGUCUAAGCAGUGAGGUGUGAAUUGAGUCAAAUGCUUAAUUCUAUAACAUUGAGCUGUGAUGGGGAGCGAAGUUUAGUAGCGAAGUUAGUGACGUCACACUGCCAAGAAAAGCUUCUAGCGUUUAAACAUACUCUACCCGUACCGCAAACCGACACAGGUAGUCGAGGCGAGUAGCCUCAGGUGAGCGAGAGAACUCUCGUUAAGGAACUCGGCAAAAUGACCCCGUAACUUCGGGAGAAGGGGUGCUGACUUAAAGUCAGCCGCAGUGAAUAGGCCCAAGCAACUGUUUAUCAAAAACACAGCUCUCUGCUAAAUCGUAAGAUGAUGUAUAGGGGGUGACGCCUGCCCGGUGCUGGAAGGUUAAGAGGAGUGCUUAGCGUAAGCGAAGGUAUGAAUUGAAGCCCCAGUAAACGGCGGCCGUAACUAUAACGGUCCUAAGGUAGCGAAAUUCCUUGUCGGGUAAGUUCCGACCCGCACGAAAGGCGUAAUGAUUUGGGCACUGUCUCAACGAGAGACUCGGUGAAAUUUUAGUACCUGUGAAGAUGCAGGUUACCCGCGACAGGACGGAAAGACCCCAUGGAGCUUUACUGCAGUUUGAUAUUGAGUGUCUGUACCACAUGUACAGGAUAGGUAGGAGUCUAAGAGAUCGGGACGCCAGUUUCGAAGGAGACGCUGUUGGGAUACUACCCUUGUGUUAUGGCCACUCUAACCCAGAUAGGUGAUCCCUAUCGGAGACAGUGUCUGACGGGCAGUUUGACUGGGGCGGUCGCCUCCUAAAAGGUAACGGAGGCGCCCAAAGGUUCCCUCAGAAUGGUUGGAAAUCAUUCGCAGAGUGUAAAGGUAUAAGGGAGCUUGACUGCGAGAGCUACAACUCGAGCAGGGACGAAAGUCGGGCUUAGUGAUCCGGUGGUUCCGUAUGGAAGGGCCAUCGCUCAACGGAUAAAAGCUACCCUGGGGAUAACAGGCUUAUCUCCCCCAAGAGUUCACAUCGACGGGGAGGUUUGGCACCUCGAUGUCGGCUCGUCGCAUCCUGGGGCUGUAGUCGGUCCCAAGGGUUGGGCUGUUCGCCCAUUAAAGCGGCACGCGAGCUGGGUUCAGAACGUCGUGAGACAGUUCGGUCCCUAUCCGUCGCGGGCGUAGGAAAUUUGAGAGGAUCUGCUCCUAGUACGAGAGGACCAGAGUGGACUUACCGCUGGUGUACCAGUUGUCUUGCCAAAGGCAUCGCUGGGUAGCUAUGUAGGGAAGGGAUAAACGCUGAAAGCAUCUAAGUGUGAAACCCACCUCAAGAUGAGAUUUCCCAUGAUUAUAUAUCAGUAAGAGCCCUGAGAGAUGAUCAGGUAGAUAGGUUAGAAGUGGAAGUGUGGCGACACAUGUAGCGGACUAAUACUAAUAGCUCGAGGACUUAUCCA
rnacentral:rRNA from 1 species